rnacentral:rRNA from 1 species
UCCUACGGGGGGCAGCAGUGGGGGAUAUUGCACAAUGGGCGAAAGCCUGAUGCAGCGACGCCGCGUGAGGGAAGACGGUUUUCGGAUUGUAAACCUCUGUCGAGGGGGACGAAGGAAGUGACGGUACCCCUUGAGGAAGCCACGGCUAACUACGUGCCAGCAGCCGCGGUAAUACGUAGGUGGCAAGCGUUGUCCGGAAUUACUGGGUGUAAAGGGAGCGUAGGCGGGAAUGCAAGUUGAAUGUAUAAACGGUCGGCUCAACCGGCCGAAGCGUUCAAAACUGCAGUUCUUGAGUGGAGUAGAGG